rnacentral:rRNA from 1 species
GGAAUCUUCCACAAUGGAUGAAAGUCUGAUGGAGCAACGCCGCGUGAGUGAAGAAGGUUUUCGGAUCGUAAAGCUCUGUUGUUGGUGAAGAAGGAUAGAGGCAGUAACUGGUCUUUAUUUGACGGUAAUCAACCAGAAAGUCACGGCUAACUACGUGCCAG